rnacentral:rRNA from 1 species
GAACUAGCAUAUCAUAGCGGAGGAAAAGAAACCAACAGGGAUUGCCCUAGUAACGGCGAGUGAAGCGGCAACAGCUCAAAUUUGAAAUCUGGCCCUAGGCCCGAGUUGUAAUUUGCAGAGGAUGCUUUUGGUGAGGUGCUUACCGAGUCCCCUGGAAUGGGGCGCCACAGAGGGUGAGAGCCCCGUAUGGUUUGACGCCGAGCCUCUGUAAAGCUCCUUCGACGAGUCGAGUAGUUUGGGAAUGCUGCUCUAAAUGGGAGGUAAAUUUCUUCUAAAGCUAAAUACCGGCCAGAGACCGAUAGCGCACAAGUAGAGUGAUCGAAAGAUGAAAAGCACUUUGAAAAGAGGGUUAAAUAGCACGUGAAAUUGUUGAAAGGGAAGCGCUCGUGACCAGACUUGCGCCGGGCGGAUCAUCCAGCGUUCUCGCUGGUGCACUCCGCCCGGCUCAGGCCAGCAUCGGUUUUCGCCGGGGGACAAAAGCUUCGGGAACGUAGCUCCUUUCGGGGAGUGUUAUAGCCCGUUGCAUAAUACCCCGGCGGGGACCGAGGACCGCGCUUCGGCAAGGAUGCUGGCGUAAUGGUCAUCAGCGACCCGUCUUGAAACACGGACCGAGGAGUCAAGCAUUAGUGCGAGUGUUUGGGUGUAAAACCCGCACGCGUAAUGAAAGUGAACGUAGGUGAGAGCUUCGGCGCAUCAUCGACCGAUCCUGAUGUUUUCGGAUGGAUUUGAGUAGGAGCAUUAACGCUUGGACCCGAAAGAUGGUGAACUAUACUUGAAUAGGGUGAAGCCAGAGGAAACUCUGGUGGAGGCUCGCAGCGGUUCUGACGUGCAAAUCGAUCGUCAAAUUUGAGUAUAGGGGCGAAAGACUAAUCGAACCAUCU